rnacentral:rRNA from 1 species
CGCGGUUAUACAAAUAAUGCAAAUAAGAUUUUUUAGUAUUAGUUAAUUUGUUUAAUUAUUAUAAAAUAAAUUUAAAUUUUUUAAGUGAAAUUUUAAAUUUAAUUAAUUUUAUAUUUUUAUUUAAUGAAGCUAGAAAAUUUUAAUUAUAAACUAGGAUUAGAUACCCUAUUAUUUAAAAAGUAAGGUUAAAUACUUGAGUAGUAAUAGAUAUGGUCUUCAAACUUAAAGAAUUUGGCGGUGUUUUAGUCUAUUUAGAGGAACCUGUCCUGUAAUCGAUAAUCCACGUUGGACCUUACUAAAGUUUGUUUUCAAUUUGUAUAUCGCCGUUAUCAGAAUAUCUUAAAAGAGGAAUAAUUUUCUUAAUUUAUUAUUAUAAUUGAUGUCAGGUCAAGGUGCAGUUUAUAUUUUAGUAGAGAUGGGUUACAAUAAAUUUAUUUAAACGUUAAAUUGUUUGAAAUAAUGAUUUUAAGGUGGAUUUAAAAGUAAAAUAAUGUAUAUAAUUUAUUUGAUUAUAGCUCUAAAACAUGCACAC